UGUGUGUUGUUAAUUAAAUGGAAAUGAUAAUUAAAUGGAAAUGUGCCAUGUUAGACAGAGUCCUCUCUCAACCUCGUCCCCUCCCCUCCCCUGCCUUUCAUCUCUAGCGCUCCGAGUUCAUUAAUUGGCUGGAAAGUGAAGUCUAUCAUGGGCUGUGAGAAUUUAAAGAGCAGAUUGAUCUGUCACCUUUCCACCUCGCCUUGUUAUUUCAAUCUUCGUCAUUAUCCAAAGGAAAUGGAACAGUAAUGAAAAAUUGUUCCACUUCCAUUUUUAGCUUAUCGUAUACUAAAGCUACUUUGAUCUGAAGUUUCUGUUCAUUCCUUUGUGUAAGUACUUUCAAAAAAUAUAAUUUGUGACACUAUGACAAUAAUUGAUCUUUUUUUUCAAAUAGAUUGAAAAGAGAGUAUCCCUUGAAAGCCUGCCAAAGCUCAAGCUGGCCUUUGAGGAAUUUGAAAUGGGUGUCCUAAGAUCACUGGAUGUGCUCAACUUUGGACUGAUAGUGAAGAAGAGUUUGGGCUUUCACAACAUAGAUGAGUUACACAGUGGAGGAGGAGUCGGCGCAGUGUGGCCAACAGGUGGCGUUUUCCCUGCCCACCCCGGUCAGGGACCUGUGCCAUGGAGAGCCCGUUGCCCUGAUGGCACCAUUUUCACCGUUUGCGAGGAUGGUGCUGUCUACUACUGGAGCCCCGGGCUCAUCCUGAAGAGGAGCAAGAGCGAGUGUGCGGGUGCGUGUGGCAGUGACUCAGCCCCAGCCCAAGGAACAUCUGAUCGUGUCUCAGCUGCACCAAAG
rnacentral:lncRNA from 1 species